rnacentral:misc_RNA from 1 species
ACUGGCGCCGACACUCUGGCGACAGAGAGUCGGAUGCCGGAAAGUUGGUCAAACUUGAUCAUUUAGAGGAAGUAAAAGUCGUAACAAGGUUUCCGUAGGUGAACCUGCGGAAGGAUCAUUACCGAUACGUGUCCAAAUCAAGUCUUCGACUUGUACCGUGUGAACUCGAGCAAACUUUUAGGGGUCGGCAAGUCCGUUAAAUGGCGGUCGGACGCAGGGCUGCUGAGCUUCUGCGGCCGCCCGUCCAGCCCCGCCAGUGUUUUUUUUUUAACCAACAUGCUUGACAGAGUCUGAAGGCUGCGCUCGUGUGCGGCGCGGGUUUCCGCCCCGCCGCGCAGAGCGAGACGAAAAAAGAUUGACAACUUUUGACGGUGGAUCUCUUGGCUCACGCAUCGAUGAAGAACGCAGCCAGCUGCGAUAAGUAGUGUGAAUUGCAGAAUUCAGUGAAUCAUCGAAUCUUUGAACGCAAAUGGCGCUCUUGGGUUCUCCCAGGAGCAUGUCUGUCUGAGUGUCGGAUAUCACCCAUCGCACUUGAGUGUGCGGAGUUGAGGCGUCACGGCCGCCCGCUGUUGCGGGCAGGCCGUGUCCCUCGAAAGGCAGAGAGACCCGCCGUGACUGGGGCUUCUUCCCGGCACACCAGCGGAGGCUAAAACUUGUUUUGCCCUUCGCGUGCCCGGCGAAGACCUCGGGCGCACCCGGGUCGCAGGCGAACUCGAAGAGACACAAACACAUCUUGACCUCAGAUCAGGCAAGGCUACCCGCUGAAU